UCAGCAAAUCAAUCCUGUAAGCGUAAACGUAAAAAGUAUCUUCAAUUAUAUCUCAUUAUAGUAAGAGGACAAUGAAAUUAUCUUCUCGCCAGAAAUAACAAAUUGGCUGAUGUUACAUGAAAGCAACGCUUAUAAAACAGUAGUCUGCAUUGCUUCAAUAACAAGGAUGAUGUCAGCAACGUCGAAUAACCCACG